CAGUUGCUGGGAAGGAUACACGAAGAUUUGAGGCAGAAAUCAAACCAAGCAGCUGACCUUCGGGAUGCCACCUCAAGAGGAUUCGAAACAGUGGAUUUAAAACAGCUUUCAGAUAAUGGUGCCGGCUUACAAGUACAUGGAGUGCGGCAAACAAGAGGGAAAUGCAUGGGCAGGUUCGGGCCUUACAUGCUAAACUGCAAACGAAGUGGACCAACAACAAUUUAACAACAGCCAAUUGGUCAUCUUCAUUUUAACAUCUCCUGAAAAAGAACGCUAAAACAAAAAAAAAUCAAAGAAAAACAAAUAUUUUUCUCCCCUUUCACGUAGUUAAAUAGUCAGCAUCACAGCUUUGUGUUUAUGAUUACUUUCAUUACCCGUUUGAUUAUCAACUUUAAACAACACGAUAUUUUCAUUUUGUGUGUACCUUUAGGAUUCUAAGAACUCUGUGUUAAAUACGGCAGCUGUUGUAGUUUGCAGUGGCGGAUUCCGGUUAGGAUAAGGGGUGGGGCAGGGAGGUGAUCUUCAUAUUCCCCGAGUUUUUGUAAUACCUGUUAUUCCCGAUAUGUGAUCAUAAAAUGGCGACCCGCCCCCACUUUUAAAAAUGAGUUUGUGACUGUGGCAACACGCCCACGCCACCUCUGCAUUUUAUUCUUUUUAUUUUGUGUCACACUUUUAGGGGACUGAGCAUCGCAAAGCUUUAAUCUUUAAUAGGCCUAUUAUGCCAAUGUCCUCAUUCCCAGCCUAAGUCUAGCCCCCCCCCCCUCCCCUCACCACACCUGGAUCCGCCACUGUUGUGCAUGUAUGUUUCUUCCAUUGGACAAACGAAACAAGGCUUUAAAUAGAGAAUUUAGCACUACAAUUAUAGAUGCAAGACUUCAUUUGUUUAUUUUCUUUGAAUGUUGCCAAAUCAAGGAAGUUUAUUUUAUCUCCAAAUAUUUUGUACGUGUAAAUAAUAUACGAUUUGCUUGAGUUAUAUAACAAUAGAUGUAGAUCGCACAUCAAACAUGCAAAAAACAACGAAAACUGUUUUAUACACCUAAGAAUCGGGGAAGAAUUAUUUAAUAGUGAGGGCACUUUGCAAAAUUACACGUAUCAUAUCGAUUUCUUUUCGAAGCAUUAUAGUUAAAACAUGCGGCACUUUGCAUGAAUGAAAAUAAAUAUUUUGUUAUUACAUAGAACUGCGUGAAUAUUUUUUCAGUUUGACUACAUUAUAUAUAUUGUGUAGUGUAUAAAUCGUAUCAUUUUAUCUUGUUAAUUUUAAUGUAAAAUCAUGAAAAUAUACGUAUUAUCGUGCAGUCCACUCUUAGUACUAUUUUGGUUAAAUUUCAGAUAUGUAAAAGCUGUUAGUAUUGUUCAUGAAAGUCAAAGGUUUUGCAUUGUUACAGGGCUAAACUUGGGUUAAAUGAUAUCCCUGUUAAGAAACACAACGUGAAAUGAAAUUCAAUCUAAAUUUGAUGAUCCUAUUUAAUGUUAAUUUAUACUUUACACGUAGCACUUAAAUCGGGAGCUGUUUCAGUAAUAAAAUUGUUUACGAAGCAUUUGUAACAUUUCAAAAGCAACCUCACUUGUCCUUGUUUGUCAUAACGUGAUAAUGUUGUUUACCAAAAACUCAAUGUUUACAAAAUAAAUAAAAGCAGUGUCUAACAUUAAAGAGUAAGCGGUUAUAAGGUCGUAUACAUCUUGCAACUAAGAUCAGAAAAGACUCGUAUGUGUAUUAAAUGUCUAUAAUUUAUUAAUAAAUAUAUCAUUUGCAAACAUGAAAACAGUCUCUGCCAAGCGAAAACAAAAAUAAAGUGCAUGGUAUUUUCAGUUGAGAAUGCCACAUUAGGUUGGCAUUGAACACCAAUAGUGAAGUGGCUAUAAGGUGCAAGGAAUAUCCAUGGAAUAUUUUCAUUUAUGCAUAGAACUUGACAGAACACCAGUAAAACUCAGAUCCCCUGUAAAUCCAGCUUGAUCCAACGAAAUAUCACAACUGCAUAACGUGUUUUCAACAUCUAUUCUUAGUUGCUUGAGAUAAACAUCUUCAUUAUCAUACCGUAUCAAUUCUACUGUUUAUUGGGUAAAGUGUAUGGGUUUCCAUGUACGCGUAAAGGCUUAUUUUCUCGUUUGGGUCUCGAAUUCUAGGCUUAACAUGGAAAAUGGCGGUGAUAUUACAGAUCAAUCAAUUAGUGAUCAAUCAGACAAUUGACCAAGAUGGAUGGAGUUUGACGCAAGACGCUCUGCCGUUAGAUUUAUUAUUAAAUAAAACGCAUUGCACUGAAGCGAAUUUAAAGGGUAAACAAAAGGAGAACAUAAAUUAAAUUACAUUUUUAAGGACCCCACGGCUUAUAUCGAACUCUUUGCCUAAUAACGACGGAACAGUGAGCAUCAUCUUAUGAAGAUACCUUUAUACAAAUACAAACCUAACUGCAAAGUGAACAGUUCAUACAUUGCGUUGAAGUGUUGGUGUAUGGACUAAUUAUCUCCGAAAGGCUUAAUUAGCACAGGGAAUAGCGCAACGAAAUUAAAACGGGCUCUAAUGUCUCCGCCAAAAAAAAAAAACUUCUAAAAUCAAAUCAUUCAGUAGAUCACAACUUUAAAAUCCUAUGCUGAGGGUUCGGGUGACGCAAGAUUUAAUUAGCGCAAGUAAUAGCGCAAUUAAAAUGAUUGCGCUAUUACUGAAGAAGCUAAACAAAAAGUAUCAGGCUGAUUGCGCCUUUACAAUUCCAUAUAAUCUUUCAGCGUGUUAAGCGAACGCUACAAUAGCAAUGCCAUGCCACAAGCCAUUCUAUAAAACGGUUUCCUUUUCAAUUUCUUUUAUUUAUGUCCGUGACAUCGUCAUUGAAAAAGAUUUUCUCCUUUCUUUCUUAUCUAUUCUUUUGAGAUAAAGUAAAAAUGCAAGAGCUAAAUGAUUCAAGGUCAUUUUGAAUACGAAUUCAUCCUCAGAAAUUGAUAUAGCCUACCAAUACAAGCGUGCCUGGAAAUAGCGCAAUGUUUGUUGAAAGAAGGGGAAACGGGAACUAAGUAUAGCUCCCUGAAUGAAAUUUGUAAAACGAUUUAAUUAUGUUAAUUUAAAAUCCUAUUUCAGUGUGCGUACUUUUAAAUGUAAAUGUAUCAUUUUCCUAUAUGUUUCGUUUGUACUUUAUUGAAUAAAAACCUAUUUGAAGCUUCAAAAGAAUAUCAUGUUAAUGCAAACAUCUUAUAAAUAUUUACCAUUAUUUUCUUUGUGCAAUUUUAAGUGAAUAUCAUAAUCAGUUACCAUAUUCUUCAUAAUUUGAUUUGAUUUGAUUUGAUUGAUUUAUUUCUGUUUGAUUUUCUUUUUCUUUUGCAUUUUUACAAAUAUAUAACAAACAAAUAUUGCAAAUUUACACAUGACAAAAGAAUAUAUGUAGAAUAAAUUAAGGCUGGCUGUAACUAAUCGAAAACAUCAAACAUGAUUUAGUAUAUUUUGUCUUCACAUUGUCCAAUAGGCGGGAUAGGUGUAGAAAGCAAAAAAUUGUAGGGUCCAGAUUUCUAACAUAAUCGUUGUACUGAAUGGUUAAUAGUGAGCGAUGGAUUUAAAUGUAAUUGCAGUGAGAACGCGAGACGAUUUACUUACAUAUUAUAUGUUGUUGUUGUAUGUCUGGGAACAGGUGCGUUCUCAUUGAACCUAGUUGGAGCUAAAUUGGACACAUUGAUGAAUAUCAAAUGGUUUCGUACUUAACGAGUAGCUCCUCGAUAAGAAACUAAAUCUGAUGGUUGUAUAAUUAAAAAUAAAUGUGUAGGCCCUAUAAUCCUACCUCCUCCCUACACUCGCCGCCGUAAUGCCAUGCUAUGUUCACGUUUCCCAAUAUAAAAUGAUUAGCUGCAAGAGGCAGUGUUGUCAUUACACACGAUUAGACCCAUUUGAAACACGAUGAUAAUCAUGUUAUGACUUCGGGCAAAGGAGUGUCAUCUCAGUAAAAGAAAAUAACAAAUAAAUCAGAUGGUAGCUGAAUACUACAAGGAGAAAACAAAUAUCACUAGACUUUUACUUUAAGAUUUCCCUUGCGCAAUGCUAAUAAGACGAUUUAUUUGUUUUGGUUUACCAAUAGAACAUAUUGACCCUAAGACGUGUGGUGAUGUAGCUGACAAAUAGAAGGGAGGGGAAAUGUUAUUGAUUUGUAGCUCGAGAUAUCAGAUUUGACCUGGAAAUUUCCCCAACUCUUGACAUUUAGUGUGCUUUAUAACAGAUACUUAUUGCUCAUGAUAAAUUCUAUAGCGUUUUGGCACCGGAAGAUGCAUCUAAAUUAGAAAAAAUAUAGGUGUCUAUUUCCGUGAGAUAUGACAGAGAGAGAGUUGCAAAAGAGAGAAUUAUUAAUUAUUAAUGGUUUUCAAUGCUGGUUGAAUGUACAUCUACAGUCUGUUCACGUUUUUUUCUUCUUUCUUCUAGAUAUUUGAUUCAUUGUUAAUGGGGUGGUCUUCAAUUUCUGCAUUUUGAUUGAAAAAAAACGUUUAUGUAUCAUUUUUAUUUCGUGAGAAAUGAAUCAAAUGUUGAGCUAUAACUUCUGUACAGUUUGUCGCUGUUUAUCAAAAAAGAAUCUGAAUAAAUAAGUGUCUCUAGUAUUUGAGUAAA
rnacentral:lncRNA from 1 species